AUAAUAUUACCACAGAAUCUUCUUUAUGAAGUGGACCAAAAAAAUUAAGAAUUUUUUGCCUAUCUUGAAUACUGGUCAAAGCUCCUGCGCCCAAUUAAUAUAGUUCGGAUAAGACUACAAAAGUCUGGACUGCAUAUACGGGAAGCUGCUAAAGAAAUUAGUACCCUUUUAUGCUUUCAUAAAAUGAUGAGAAACUGACACAAACCCAAUCCAUCGAAAAAGCAAAAGAAGGUAUUGAAUACUAUGGAUUCCCUGCAAUCAAAACAACCAGAAGAAAGAAAAG